rnacentral:rRNA from 1 species
AGAGUUUGAUCCUGGCUCAGGAUGAACCUUGGCGGCGUGCCUAAUACAUGCAAGUCGAACGAAACUUCUUUAUCACCGAGUGCUUGCACUCACCGAUAAAGAGUUGAGUGGCGAACGGGUGAGUAACACGUGGGCAACCUGCCCAAAAGAGGGGGAUAACACUUGGAAACAGGUGCUAAUACCGCAUAACCAUAGUUACCGCAUGGUAACUAUGUAAAAGGUGGCUAUGCUACCGCUUUUGGAUGGGCCCGCGGCGCAUUAGCUAGUUGGUGGGGUAAAGGCUUACCAAGGCAAUGAUGCGUAGCCGAACUGAGAGGUUGAUCGGCCACAUUGGGACUGAGACACGGCCCAAACUCCUACGGGAGGCAGCAGUAGGGAAUCUUCCACAAUGGGCGCAAGCCUGAUGGAGCAACGCCGCGUGAGUGAAGAAGGGUUUCGGCUCGUAAAGCUCUGUUGUUGGAGAAGAACGUGCGUGAGAGUAACUGUUCACGCAGUGACGGUAUCCAACCAGAAAGUCACGGCUAACUACGUGCCAGCAGCCGCGGUAAUACGUAGGUGGCAAGCGUUAUCCGGAUUUAUUGGGCGUAAAGCGAGCGCAGGCGGUUGCUUAGGUCUGAUGUGAAAGCCUUCGGCUUAACCGAAGAAGUGCAUCGGAAACCGGGCGACUUGAGUGCAGAAGAGGACAGUGGAACUCCAUGUGUAGCGGUGGAAUGCGUAGAUAUAUGGAAGAACACCAGUGGCGAAGGCGGCUGUCUGGUCUGCAACUGACGCUGAGGCUCGAAAGCAUGGGUAGCGAACAGGAUUAGAUACCCUGGUAGUCCAUACCGUAAACGAUGAGUGCUAGGUGUUGGAGGGUUUCCGCCCUUCAGUGCCGGAGCUAACGCAUUAAGCACUCCGCCUGGGGAGUACGACCGCAAGGUUGAAACUCAAAGGAAUUGACGGGGGCCCGCACAAGCGGUGGAGCAUGUGGUUUAAUUCGAAGCUACGCGAAGAACCUUACCAGGUCUUGACAUCUUGCGCUAACCUUAGAGAUAAGGCGUUCCCUUCGGGGACGCAAUGACAGGUGGUGCAUGGUCGUCGUCAGCUCGUGUCGUGAGAUGUUGGGUUAAGUCCCGCAACGAGCGCAACCCUUGUUACUAGUUGCCAGCAUUAAGUUGGGCACUCUAGUGAGACUGCCGGUGACAAACCGGAGGAAGGUGGGGACGACGUCAGAUCAUCAUGCCCCUUAUGACCUGGGCUACACACGUGCUACAAUGGACGGUACAACGAGUCGCAAGCUCGCGAGAGUAAGCUAAUCUCUUAAAGCCGUUCUCAGUUCGGACUGUAGGCUGCAACUCGCCUACACGAAGUCGGAAUCGCUAGUAAUCGCGGAUCAGCAUGCCGCGGUGAAUACGUUCCCGGGCCUUGCACACACCGCCCGUCA